GAUAAACGCUGGCGGCGUGCCUUAUGCAUGCAAGUCGAACGAGGUUAAGAUUUCGGUCUGAAGCCUAGUGGCGGACGGGUGAGUAACACGUACGUGACCUGUCCAGAAGUGGGGAAUAACCGGCCGAAAGGUCGGCUAAUACCGCAUGUGGUCACCCCUUGGAAGGGGAUGACGAAAGCCGAAAGGCGCUUCUGGAGGGGCGUGUGGCCGAUUAGCUUGUUGGUGUGGUAACGGCGCACCAAGGCGAUGAUCGGUAGCUGGUCUGAGAGGAUGGUCAGCCACACUGGGACUGAGAUACGGCCCAGACUCCUACGGGAGGCAGCAGCAGGGAAUUUUGCGCAAUGGGCGAAAGCCUGACGCAGCAACGCCGC
rnacentral:rRNA from 1 species